UAAGGGCAUAUAUUACAAAUUCUUAAUUUUCCUAUACUUGAAUUAAGGUAAAACCUAAAAAUAAAUUAUUGUUGACACAGCUAUUCUCUCUCUCUUCGUUCAUGACCUAAGUAAAGUCUUCAUGUCCCUUUCUUUUUUUUUUUUUAUUGAAAUGCAGUUUGCUUUGAAGAUAUUUUUUCUUUGCCAUUUAGAACUGAUGGCCAGCCAACUAAAACUCCUCUAGCUAAUCCCAGUUUUUUGUCCAAAGCACAAAUAGGUUGCACUCAAUAGAAUCAGGAAAAAGAAGCGAAGCUAUGAAGAAAAGCAAAUGCUCUGCUCAGACUCCACUCAAACUCAAGUUUCAGAAGGAUGUGCUGCCAUUUCUGCUGUCAUAUGCAGGGUUGCUGCAGAUCCAUUCUGCAAACACAUCUCCUGAAAAGCAGCAUGGUUCACUGCUGGUUGCUGUAGUAAGAGUCUGACAAGCUGGCAUGUUUUUAAGUUGGAAGCCCUUGUCCUGUCACUGCAGUUUCUGAUGAAGAGCCCCUCUGUGGCCUCCUGGCUGGCCCCCUUCAGAGCCCUCUCCUUAUUGUGCUGCUGCAGUGAUGGGUGAGAGAGCAUGGGCACACAACCGGGCUUGUCUGCUGCAGGUUUUCUUCAGCUAAUUCAGGUUUUGUAAGUCUUGAUGUUCAACAGGCUGGAAGGCAGCAGAAGCACCGUUUCUAAAAAUACAACUGACAGAUAACUGUGGUCUCCACAGGCUGCCUGUUGGGCCUUCUCUGAUGUAGCAAUGAACAGAAUGGUGUUGUAAAAGCCUUGCUAUUGGACAGCAUUCUCCUGGAUAAGCUUCUUCUGAAUAAAGAAAACUGCAUAUACCUGGUCAUGUUACAGUGAGGAUAAAGCACAAACUGAGCAAUAAAAGAGGUUCAUAUGUUUAAUGCU